ACCACCAGGGACUGAGGAUCCACUCCAGCCCUUCUAGAGCACGGUAGGGAGGCUGGGUGGACCUCUUAAUUAUUAAAUGUGUGUAUGCAUGUAAUGUUUGUGUGUGUAUGUGAUUGUGUGUCUGUGAUUGUAUGUGUGUGGGUCUUUGAUUUUGUUUGUGUAUAUCUGUGAUUUUGUGUUUGAUUGUGUGUAUCUCUGUGUAUGUGUUUAGUAGAUAGCUCCCUUAUUUGGUGUCCUUAAAUAUUGUAAUUCCACAUAAGGAUAACAAAUAAGGGAUGUAUCUACUAAACAACUGAAAAUAAGAAAAGAGCUUUUUUAAUCUUGAUCCUUUAGCUGUUUAGUAGAUCGUUCCCUGAUUUGCUGCCCGUAUGUGAGAUUUCCAUAUUUAAAGAUACCAAAUGAGGGUGCUGUUUAGCAGAUAUCUCUUUUAUUUGUUGUCCUUAAAUAUGGCAAUCCCACAUAAGGAUAACAAAUAAGGGAUUUAUCUACUAAACAACUGAAAAUAAGAAAAGAGCUUUUAAAAUCUUGAUCCUUUAGCUGUUUAGUAGAUCAUUCCCUGAAUAGUGAUGUCGCGAACCGUUCGCGAACUUCCCGCGAACGGCUCGCCACGGUUCGCCACGAACCGUUCGCGGCAAGCUCCAGUCAGCUGGCACAUCCCGGCCAAUCUCCAGCAGACCCUCCCUCCCAGACCCUCCCACCUCCUGGACAGCAUCCAUGUUGAAGGGAAAAAGCCACCAAAAUGUAAGCAAAUAAUUAAAAAAAUUUAUUGUGAGUGUGUUAGUGUGUGUGUUUGUUAAUGUGUCUGUUAGUGAGAGUGUUAGUGUGUGUGUCUGUUAGUGAGUGUUUCAGUGAGAGUGUGUGUGUUAGUGUGUGUGUCUGUUGGUGAGUGUGUUAGUGUGUGUCUGUUGGUGAGUGUUAGUAUGUCUGUUAGUGAGAGUGUGUGUGUCUGUCAAAGAGUAUGUGUCAGUGAGAGUGUAUGUGUCUGUUAGUGAAUGUGUAUGUCUGUGAGUGUGUGUAUGCGUAUCUGUCACUGAGAGUGUAUAUCUGUCAGUCAAUGUGUAUGUCUGUUAGCGAAUGUGUGUCUCUGACACUGAGUGUAUAUGUGUCUGUCAGUGAGUGUGUAUGUGUGUUUGGCAUUGUGUGUCAGUGAGUGUGUGUGUCUGACACUGAAUGAGUGUGCGUCUGUCAGUCAGUGUGUAUGUGUCUUGUCAGUGAAUGUGUGUGUCAGUUAGUGUGUCUGUCGGUGAAUGUGAGUGUUCGUGUCUGUUUGUCAGUGAGUGUGUAUGUUUCAGUGAAAGUGUGUGUUGGUUAAACAGUGUAUGUGACAAUGACUGUGUAUCUGUCCGUUGUCACAUAUGUCCGUGUAUGCAUCAGUGAAGGCGUGUGUCUGUUAGGCAAAGAGCGUGUUGGUUUUUAACAGGAAGUGAAAUUUAGAAGGGGGGGGGGGGUGUCUGAGUUUUGUCAUGCCAAGGGCAGCACAAAACCAGAAUACACCACUGAAUACAACCCUGCAAACAUGGGCAAAUUGUAGAUUCCCAGCUGGCAUAACACCGCGGGGGCUGUACAAUAGAUGGGAAUCAACCUUUUGACCACUCUUUUGCUUGAGGGGGGCCCAAGAAAUGUCUUGCACCAGGGCCCUCUCUGCAUUAGCUCCACCAAAGCAAGUCAUGUAACCAGCGAUGCAGAUUUCUACAUCAGAUUUAAUUUCUCAUAUCUCACCAAUACGUAUCAGUUAAAUAUAAAACAUACACAUUAUAUUAAAAGUCCCAGGAAGUGAAAGUUCCUCUUUAACUUUUAUUAAUUCAUUAAUUAUUCCACAGCAUUGCUAUUUACAUAUAUGGGACAUUCUAUUUAAAUAGCACUUUACGUCUAACAGUGUCAAUGCUUUAGCCACAGAAUGACAUUCAAUAUAAACAUUGAGAUUCUCCAUUAAUUACAUUUAUUGACAGGAAAAUCAAAAUGCAGCAAAGUUUACGUGAAGAGUUUUUUUUCCCCAUCGCUAACAUUGGUAAAUAAAGUAAAUUUACAACAAAUCUAAAGGAAUUUGAUAAUGAAAGUGGAAGCACUGUUUAUCGCACUCUUGACAAACGACAGUGUCAUAAGUUUGGAACGGUGGGACUACAGAGACAUCACCUCUUUAUUGCCAAUGUAAAAAAACUGAUAACAUUAAACACAGAACGGUGCUAAUCCUAAAAUUGCACUUAAAUGACAUAAUAUGUAGUAGCAUUUGCUUUGUUUGUUGUCCUGAAAUUAAUGACAAGUCUGUGGGAACUCUCCAUCAGACAAGAGGGACUUGGUGACAUUAUGGAUGGCCAAAAAACAGAGCAGUGUUUGUAGCUGAGUAUCUGAAGCUCAGAACGUAUAUUGAUCAAGGAAAAAAUCCUAUAGUGUUCUCCCAGUGCACAAUCCAUUUGUGUUUGUCUGAACAACACUAAUUAAGUCUGUUGGAUGGAAAAGAACUUUAACAACAGACAUCAUAUGCGUGUUGCAAGUAAAGUAGUGGUUUGUAUUCCAAUCAGACAAAGCUAAAAGCUAGAUUAUAUAGUCAUAGACAUGUGAAUAUCUCAUUCUAAAACCAUAGACUCUAAUAUGUACUUGUUAUCCCAUUUACUUCCAUAACAGCCUACAAUCGUCUGGGAAAUAUUAAAUGGACAGUCUAAGCACCACAACUACUACUGCAAUGUCAGGAUCAGCGUGGUAGGGGCAUACAGACCUAUAAAACAACAAAUGGACUUUUAUUGUACCGGUCCAUGGCCAGUGGCCGGACUAAUGGUAGAAGAGGACCGAGAGAAUGCCAGGGUCAAGGACAGGAGAAACAUUAAUAAACGAUUAAACAAGCUAAGUUCAAAGUAAUACAGGUGUCAAGAGAAACGUUUGAACAGACAAAAUUAGAUACCAGGAAAAGGAUACACAAGUAACGCACUCACAGGGCAACAUGGAGUGGGGAGGUAAGUAUAUAUAGGCAGUACUUUAUUUCAAUUGGUUCAUGUCAUGAGUGAAUUAGAAUAUUCCUCCACAUUAUAAUUACACACUGAAUUCAGUCCGGUGAAUUCACCAUUUGGACCCAAAUUCCCACAAAAUCCCGCAGCAUUGCAGAGAAUGCCGGGGAACCCAUGUAAGACCGACAUGAUGCUGACAAGCACAGAGUAUUGUUUAUGGUUGCAGGAGUCCCUUGGCGCUGCCUGAUAGCAGUCUGUCAAAUAUUUACAGAAGUUUUAUAACUUACCCUGCUGUGUUGGGUAUAUAUCAUUAAUAUUAUUAAACAAAUAAUCACCCCCUCCCUCUUUCAUAAACCCCUUUCCCUCUCACCACACUGUCAGCCUCUUCAUGCAUCCACACUCACAUUUACCACUCCUAAUCCUGUUAAUCUCACCCCCUCCAAACUCACCUGCCACACUCACCCUGUUACAUUAACAACCCUUAAUCCUGUCACACUCGUCCCUCCUACCAUACAACAAUUGCCCUGACACACUUACCUCCACUCACCCUGUCACACUCCCUAAUCAAACCAUGUCAUACUCCCGUCCCCUCAUUCUCUCUUAUGCUCCCCCCCACACACACCCUGUCUAUUUACCCCCUUCACCCUGUCACGCUCUCCCUGCCACUGAUACCCCUUUAUUCACUUUGUCACAGUCACCAGCUGAAGAUAUUCAUCAUACAUACACAAUCAGGAAACAUAGCUUUGCCAUAAACACAAUGCACAAACACAAACACAAAGGCUACAGGCAGACCCUCAUACAUACAACACACUUCAAGCAACUACCCCAUCCACAUACGGCCCAAGACAAAAACGCAAACAUGCUCACAGAGACAUACAUUUACACACACACACACACACAAGGAUACGUGACAGUGUGCAUAUACACACUCUUUUUUCACUUUUUUGUUAGUGGGGCCUCAUGUUUGAGUUUUGCCUUAGGCCUCUGUCGAGUGUAGCCUAAUAAACCUCAGUUGAAUCCCAGAAUUAUGUGUCGUCUUGUUAGUGGGGGGAAAGGGUUAUAAUCACAACAGCGCUUCUUACAACUUCGAAGAAGAAUCAGCGGAUUCACUCUUUUCCUGAAUGGCGAUUCCGUUCUACUAAAGGAAUCUGAGUACUAAUUGGACAGGCUAUUCAGGGAAAUACCUUUUGUGGGGUUCCUGUACAAUUUUGAUAUCUUUUUGGGGUGGUUUGUAUGCUUUUGUAUUAUUCCCUGUGCCUGAGAGAUAAUUGAGACUAACUCUUGGUAUCCUGUGUGAUAUAUCAUUUAUGUCUAUACAAAUGUAUUUUAUGCCUUACAAAUGUAUGCUGUGAUUUUUCUUCUCCUUGUAUUAUUCAUGGAUUAUACUCUCUUACUGACCUCUAACAAAUUUUAGAUUUGCUACCUCUAUGCUAUUUUUGUUUGCUCCGACCUUCUUUUUUUCUUGGUCAUCAUAAGGGCCAGUUAACACUUUAUGACUUUGCUUUCUGUUCUAUUUGGUUUUGAUAGACUUGGGCACUGGGGACAUGCUUUUUGUUCUAUUUGGUUUUUGAUAGGUGUGGGCACUGAAGAAAUAUAAAUUUUUGUCCGAAAAGGUAUUUUGUUUCAUCAGAACUGAAUUUCGUCCAUUGACUCUUUCGUUUUCGGAAGAAAUUUGGAUUUUAUUUUCAAUUUGGACAGCCCAUUCAUUUAUUCAGCCCACCCCCUAAAUCAAUGUAUUAAAAACGCUUAAUCCGAAUGCAUGAAUGGCUCAUUCAUUCGUUAUGUAAACGGUUGUUUAGUUCACUCCCAUUAUACCUGUAAUAAAAAAUAUAUGAAAGUGAGCCGUACUAACAAAUGAUCACCAAACAUGAGAGCCAUUUGUGCAUUCAGAUGACUCGUUUGGCAGUUUCUAAUACAUAUAGGAACAGACAGACAGUACACUGUCUGUCUGUAAUUCAAAAGGCCAAACAAGUAAUCCGAAUGAAUAAAUGGCUCAUUCAUUCGGUUCACAUUCGUUAGUUUGGCUUGCUCCCAUCAGAUAUGAUGAGAGUGAUUGUUACAUGUUUGAAGCAAGUGGUAAAGUUAGAAAAUGGGAAAAGGAAAAGACAGAUUGAAGAUAUAAAGUAUGAAAUAGGAAUAUGUAUUUAAUUAUGGAGGUGCAGAAACCUCUUUCUUUCUCAGUAAGCGAGGAGCAAAAAAAAAGCAAUCUUUGUGUUGAAAUGUGUUACAAAGCUGAUAUAUGUCAAGAUGGCAAAUGAGGGGUUAUGCAACGAAGAAUUGUUUAAGAAGUGUUAAAAGAAGUGGUUGUGAUUAUGAGAGAAGGUUAUGAUGGUGAAGGUGGAUUAUGUUUGCUUGGCAAGGGAGAGGUCUAAGCUGUAGGAGUAUAUCUAUAAUUUAUAGUACAUAAAUUGUUUCUAGCAGAUAUUCUGCACUGUACAUUGUGGUUUGAGAUACCUUCUCUGGGGUGCUUAAAAGGGACACUAUAGUCACCAGAACCACUACAGCUUAAUGUAGUUGUUCUGGUGUGUACAGUCUGUACCUGCAGGAUUUUUAUUUUAAAUACUACCUUUUCAGACGGGCACUAGAUUUGCUUCCUGGGUCAGUAGUGCACACGUGCAGCACUGACGUUCAGCAUCUCCAGGCUCUGCAUGGAGUUACUGAAUGCUCCCCAUAGAGAUGCAUUGAUUCAAUGCAUCUCUAAGAGGAGAUGUUGAUUGGUGCAGUGCUGGGCUUUGCUGCGCAUGCUCAAUAGCCUCCCAAUGCUUUGAUGAUUUCAGCCAAGGAGGCAGACCAGAACAGAGCCAGCUGCGGCGAGACCAGCGUGGCACUGGAAAUAAGGUAAGUAAAAUCACCUUUCUAAUGGGGGGGUGGGGUGGCAAAGGUGGCCAGGCACCUAAACAGCUAUUUUAUAACUAUGAUAGAAGGAAAACAUGUUUGUAUUCCUGACACUAUAGCGUUCCUUUAACAUGGUGACAUUGAAAAUGACGUUCACUAGAAAAAUACUUGAAAAUAUAAAAAUACAGUGUAGUACUGUAAAUACAACAUUUGAAAUAUUAAGUUUUGUUCAUAUUUACCAGGAAUAUUCUAACAUAUUACUAUAAAGAAGCAUUGUGCAGACUCAGAGUUUCAGGAAUUCCAACCUGUGCUAUUUAGUGAUUCCAAUUUGGUUCUCUCGCACUAACAGCCCAAUUAUACAGAAAGUGAAUGAUUUAACAUAUAGUUAAAAAAAACAAAAACGUGUUUUUCUUUUCUUUUCUUUUUUUCCCUGCUCUGUUUAACUCAGUUUGGUGGGUAUGUACACUGUCAGCAGCUCAGAGCUGGUAAAUCGGCUCGUUCCCUGUGAGAGACACUGGCAGCCUUGUCUGAUACUUUAUGAUCUCCAAGGGACACUUUAUAAUUCCGUAUACCUUUACUUACAUCAAUUACAGCUUAAACACAGAGCUUCCCUUACACAUUGCAGGUGCAUUAAAUCCUGCGCACGAUGCACAAACCUUCCCGGAAGAGUGUGCUGCUGCAUACUUAACUCUUCUAUUACUGAGAUAACGUAAGACCUACAAUCACUGCACUGAUGUGCGUAAACUGUCAAUCUCUCGCACUGUAAUAACUGCUAUAUCAUAGGUUAUAUAUUAUAUAUAUUAUGAAUAUAUUAUAGGUUUAAUAAGUUGUUCAGAUUUUUCUUUUUUUUUUUUUUCAAAUCCAAUUUUUAUUGUGAAUGCAAGAUAGAAUCGACAUUACAUACAUGGUAAGGUUUUUUUUUUUAAACAUUUUCUCCUUAUAAAUAACACAUACUGCAAACCUGCAUAGGGAAAAGUAGGUAAGUCUCCGUAUAUGUCCUGAAUUAAGUGGAUAAUUUAAUAACUGAGUGUGUCACCACGAUAAUUAGUAAAAUAAUUUACGUAGUUCUGGGUCUCUCUGAAUUGCCGAAACAUUUGUAUUUAUGUCUCUGACGGGGAAGGAAAUUAUUUUUUUCUUAUUCUUGUACUUUACAGUAAAGGAUAAUGUAUCCAAUAGACAAGAAGACAUUUGACUCAGAUAUCUCAGUGAAGUUCAACUGAAAGAGAACACAGCAGUGGUGGAUCUACCGCCUGUGCAGUUGGUGUGGCUGCACCAGGACCCACACAAUAAGGGUGUCCAUCAGGGUGGCCCAUGCAUGGGAGCUAUAGUCCACAACACCUGGAGUGCAGAAGGUUGCCUACUGUUGACCAUAUACGUCAAUGCUGCCAUGCAACAUAGAGUUUGGGGAUUGGAGGGAGACCAUACACACAACGAUGCAAACACCCAAGCCGUGGAAACGCUGCCACCCCCACAGCUCGGGACUGAGACUCUCCUAGGGGAUAAGUGAUCUCAUGACUCGACUACUGUAUAAAUCAUCAAAAUAAACACGGGGGGCACUAAGGUAAGCAACACCAGGUGAACUAGCGUGGAGUGGGAGGGGGGGAAAGAGCCAACACACAAAAUCUAACAGAAGGGGGAGGGGGAUAAAAGAGAGGAGGGAAAAGGGUGAGGAAUAGAAAGAUGUAGGGAGGGAGGGGGUGGAGAAAGAGGGGGUAAAACACACACACACAAAAAUUACUUAUAAAAAGGAGGGGGGGAGGGAUCAGGGGGGAGGAGAAUCACUCAUAAAUGAAGGGGGGUACGUGGUGGGUAGACGGUGCCAGGAGGGGCCAGACAUACUAUGCUCUGAGACUAGCACGUGUACACUCCACGGGGAGCACAAAAAUACUAGCACAUGCCCACAACUCGUCACCCAUGCACGGUGCUCACAUAUCCUGCCAUCCUAGCCGCUGAAAAUCCUCACCCAAAAGUGCAGGGAAUUGAACAUUCCAGAAUGCAGGACACACUUCCUCAGGGGACUGUGACAAAAACGGAUUUCAAUCGCAUUCCUCCAGGAGACACACUUCCAGGAGGGCUCUGCACCUGCCCUAAAGGACAGAGCAUACUCUCAGAACUUCUUCAGCAAUCACCCUACCUCAAAAAAGUCGGGUGUCGCCAUUCUCCUAACGACAAGGUUAGCAUUUACAGUGACGGACCAGGUAGCCGACCCCGAGGGCAGAUAUGUAAUCAUAAAAGGAACCAUCACAAACCGCACAUAUACAUUAGCAUGCAUAUACGUCCCCAACCAGAAUCAGUCACAAUUCAUCUGCAAAACCUUGAAUAUCCUCUCGGAACGCUCAUCUUAGGGGGCAACUUUAAUGUCACACUAGACUCCAAGAUAGACUCCUCAUCUGGACAUAGUAGUAUCCCACAGAGGGCCAUCCCAAGCGUGCAAAGGGCCUUUGGAAAUGUACGUCUAGUGGAUUGCUGGAGAACAUUACACCCCACGACAAAGGAUCACACACACACUACUUAAGGGUCCAUGCGAGAUACUCAAGGAUCGACCUACUGUUCCUCCAACAGGAACAACUUCCUAAACUGCUGGAAGCAACCAUUGAAGCGGCCACCUGGCCAACCAAGAAUCGGUUACAAAGGAAAUAGACUCGCGGUUCAAAAGACCCAAAGCAUCAAACUGGAGACUUAAUGAAAUCCUGCUGGUGGAUAUAGAAAUCAGGGAACAAAUUAUACAGGCACUGGGGUCCUACUUCUCAGACAAUACGCCGGGUGAGACCUCCGAUACCACAAAUGGGAGGCACAUAAAAGUGUCCUAAGAUGCCUCAUUGUCCAACUAGCAACAAAAAAAAAAGAAACGGGAAACCCUGCGGCAGAUGGAAGACUUACUAACUACAAUCAGGGACAUCGAGGCGAGACACAAGAUAACCCUUUUAGAGGAUGAUUAUAGGGAACUGCUGGAACAAAGGCGAAAACUGCAGGCUCUGAUCGCCCAGAAAUACCAUAGACAUAUACAGAGAGUCAAGGGAUUUUUCUACACCCACACGAACAAGGGGAGUAAACUUCUGGCGCGAAUGCUCUGAGGACAACAGAUACAUGCACAGGUACAUAAACUGAAACUCACAGGGGGCAAAACAACACAACAUCAGGAGAUUAUAGCGACAGAGUUCCGCACUUUUUACUCAAAUUUAUAUAAGCUAGAACAUCAGGACCCGUUGACUCAGCACCCAUAAAAAUAGAGGCAAUACAACAAUACCUCAUUAACUUCCUACCUAAAACUGUGACCCGAGAUGAGGCAGACUUCAUGGAUGCACCAAUCUCGGAAGAAGAAUUGAAGGCCGCAAUCAAGAUGGACCAGAUAGGUUCUCGUUGGAGUAUUACAAAAGAUUCGGAGACACGCUUGUGGCGGAACUGGCCUCGCCACUGGGCAUUGGAGAAGACUGAUUGCCAGCCUCCUGCCCUGUGACUAUGGCCCCAUGUUGAAAUGCUUGAUUUCCCCCUGCAAAGACGCAAAAGCCGGGUCAUUCGGUACUUUCCCUAUUUGAACAGUGAUACCCCAGAUAGCUAUGCCAUGGAGCCCAUUCGUAAAACGAAAGACUAUGUGAAAGACUUUGGCUCCAUGGCAAUUGAACUGUAUGUAUGUGAUCUGAGCGCCAUUCAGUAAUAAUGUGCACUCAGAUCUAACCUAUCUGGGGAUAUGAAUGUACCUGUUUUAUGCAAUAGCUGCACAGUUAUAUAUAUUUAUGUAUUUUAUUGUCUUUUGCUACCAUGUGGCUAAUGGAGUUUUGCCUCUGUCCUUGGAGAUAAUUGGAUUACUUCCCAAUUAUCUUCAGGAUAGAAAACUCUGUGGAACCGGUUUUGGGCAGAAUAGUGUGGGAGUGUCUGAGUGUAUUGUACGUGUUUAUUGGUUGUUUUACAAAACCCUCUGGGUGGUACUAAUGUGUAAGAAUGUGUAUAUAAGAACAAUAAACCCACAGCUCUGGCAGUUCUACUUCACCCUCAGUUUGGAGUGCCGUCUCUUAUUGGGGCAAUCUGCUACAAGGGAUUGCUAUGCUUGUCAUACUCCCUUGCUAAAUCACUUCUAAGCUCUUGUAAGAGCUUGUUCCUGCUUUGCUCUCUGGAGGAGUCUACGGUGGUUAUGGUGUCUGCUGCGGUGCUUGGAGUCCUCAGGAAGCGCUAGGAGCAUCCUUGCCCGUCGAUCCGUUACAACCCUCAUCCCUAAACUAGCCAAGGCAUUAAACGCGCUCACCACCGGAAGCAGGUUCCACGACGAAACACUGGCAGCAACAAUAACCAUUCUCCCCAAGCCUGGCAAGGACCUGGAACUCUGCAGCAACUACAGACCGAUUUCCCUACUAAAUGUGGAUAUUAAACUCUUCACCAACAUCCUAGCUAGCAGACCAAAUCUCCCUAGACUGGUCCACCAGGAUCAACACGGGAUUCAUCCCAAGUAGAGAGGCCCGGGACAGCACGCUACAAGUGCUCUCCAUACAGAACCUUGUGAGGAAAACGAGAGUACCCACGCUUUUGCUCUCCACUGACGUGGAGAAGGCCUUUGACCGAGUGGACUGGAAAUUCUUAAAAGAGAAGCUCAAGAAGACGGGCUUUGGCCCUAGUCUUCUUGAAUGGAUAACAGCCUUAUACAGUCAACCGAACUCGCAAGUGAGUGUGGAUGGAACGCUCACUGACACUUUGCCAAUCCGGAACGGCACCAGGCAGGGAUGCCUCCUGUCUCCGCUGCUAUUCGUCCUGUCACUGGAGCCCCUACUCAAAGUGAUCUGAUGCAGCAGGGAUAUCAGGGGCUUCACAUUGCACAGAACCAAGCACAAAACAGCAGCAUAUGCGGAUGACAUGUUGUUCUUUGUCACGCACCCAGGAUCUCCUUGCCAUGCCUGAUGCAAGAAUUUAUGAGCUACGGCUGACUCUCGGGCCUCAAACUAAAUCUGGCAAAAUGUGAGGUCCUUAACCUCAUGGUCCCCAGCAGAGAGUAUGACUCCCUACGCACACAGUACUGGUUUCACUGGUGUGAGUCCAAGAUGAAAUACCUUGGUCUUUGGCUCACAGCAGACCCGCAAGAUCUGUAUCAAACCAACUUCAUACCACUCUUGACUACGAUAUUACAAGACCUCCAUACUUGGAACUAUCAACAUAUCUCGUGGAUUGGCCGCAUAGCGAUCAUAAAAAUGAACAUCCUACCCAGACACCUCUAUCUCUUUUAAACACUGACAAUGUCCCACCUGCUGCAUUCUUCUCAUCUCUCAGAAAUGCAAUCAAAUACGUUUGGAAUGGGAGUCGCCCGCGACUCAGGCAUAAAUUUCUCUGCCUGCCACGAAACCAGGGGUGUCUAGCUCUCCCAGACAUACGGAAAUAUCAACACGCCUCCCCACUACAAUGCAAUUUAGAAUGGCAUUCAAGUCCACGACACAAACAAUAGAUUGAAAUAGAUGAGGUCAGAAGAGACACACACCUAUAUGCAGAUAAAUGGUCCACCCAUUCUGGCAAAUCGGAAGGCCCAGACUGAACAUCCGCCACAGCACAAACCUUAAAAACAUGGACCAACAUGCGUCAGGCGACACACUUAUCCCCAAAGCCGUCUGACCAACAACCGCUCGAUAGGAAUUGACGUCUAAAGCCUGGGGCUUCUUGGGCACACAGGCCUUCCUUCCCAUACAUGACGUCCUAGAUGAUAGGGAACUGAAAUCAAUAGCACAGCUGAUCCCCGAUCAAGCAACGUCACAACUACAGUCAUUUCAAUACACAGAAUUACAGUAUUUCUACAACUCACGCAAAGACAAACCAUCCAUUCACAGAGCACUCACGCACUUUUAAACACACACGGCAAUAGGACUGACAAGACUGAAUCUUUUCUCAUCCAGACGGCACUCUCAACCGAACACUAAUACACUGGACAGCACCACCCUACAUACCACUGACACAUUGUGGAGACGCAGCCCUCCAGUAACGUCCAGAAUGCCACAUUACAGUAUUGAUUGACACAGACGCACACUCAAAGGCAUCACCACAACAAUAGAAAAAGCCACACACUCUAGAACAGUUAACCGAACCAGACAACGCCAACACCUGCUCUGACCCCUACGUGUUGGCCCAACCUCAGCUUCACGGCUAGGAGACCCUGCACUGUCUGACCCGGUCCUGCCUCCACUACCUCUCCGAUACCUCACAGGACAGAUGGCACACCAUGGGGAAAGGGGUCGGACCAGCAAAGGGACUUCUUGGCCCGGGAUGCGUGAUGUUGAUGAUCCUCACCAGACACACAAGGUCGAUACGGGGGGGUGCGGUGAGAGGAGGGGCUUGGUAUGAAGAGAAGCCACCACGCUCUGCAGUACUUCCCCUCUAGAAGACAGCUGGGGCUCCAAACUUACACAGAACAUCAAUGAACCACUGAUGGAUGAAACCCUAGCUCCUUUAGCCUCUAUCCUGAUCCCUCAACAACCAACAAAGGCCUGUAUUACAUAGCACAUCACACACGCCACACAUACAUAAGCAAUGGCGAACUGGGGCGGGGAGGGAGGCACGGGGUCGAGGCAACAACAGCAAUCUCCGACACUCAACUCACAAAUGUCCGUAGAAAUGCCAAUGGAAAAGUUUAAUCAACCAAACAUAAUGACCCCUGGGUCCAAUGAAGGGUGGUGCCCUGAACCUUUAUGACCCAACUAAACUGGAUGAGAGGCACCCACCACUCACACACAUAUCACAUACAGAAGUGUAAAGGUCAGGGACCUGAGGGCAUCCUCCCACUGACCUUCCUAUUGCCAGACAAACAACCUGCAAGUCCCCACACUGUACCUUAGCCACAAGAUCUGCGAGUCGAAGAUAAGUAAGUGUGGUCAAAGCCGCUAUUAGUACUAGUUAAAGAUGAGCGUCCAGCCAGGACCCACUAGUACCACUACCAAGGCAGUCCCCUGGCGCCAUCACAGUGUUAAGAGUCAAGCUAUUUUCAAACAGUAUGACACUUACCUGAUUCUCCUGAGUGCCCACAGCCAAAAACCUCUUAAAAGAUAUCUCUAAACCAGAAGUUCCACUUUUAGUAAUAUCCAUUUUGUCCCGCUUUGAAAGGAAUUGAUUGGCUGAGGAGUGUCAGUUGAGCCAAUGAAUUCCAUCCAAAGAUGGACGGAAUUGUUAUUCCUACUGCAAAAGUUGGAACACCCACUUUAGCUAUGCCUUCAGUUUUGGAAUUACAUUUCAGAUACCUGUUGUAGGCAAAAUGUGAAUGCUGUGGUUUGUAUUUAAUGUUGUGUGAGAAUGCUAAGGGUAGUAUAUGAAUGUUGUGUGUGAAUGCUGUGGGUAUUAACAUGGAAAAAUUGCUUAUACCAACAAUCUGAAAAGAAGUGCAUCAGCCCAUCAAACAUGAACGGAUUGCUAAAGAUACAUAGAUCAAGACUAGAAGAAUCCAAUUGGUCCACUGGGACUGUUUCCCUGAUUUUAUGGGAAACCUCACAGCGGAACCUACUAUUUACUAAUUUUAAACAAAGUAUCUUCCCAGUGCCUCCAUUCAUGCCAGCCAUAUUAGCCUCCUUAAUAUCAUUAAGCAUUUGUCCAGUUUGACAAACACAGCCAUAACAGUCUGUCAGUUCUAUCCAACAUCCGUGAUCCUUUUGUCUUUAUUCUUUUACAAAUCACAGUCUCACUACUUUUUCCGACAGUAUUUAUUCCAUGGUCAAUAUUAAGUUUGUCAAUUCCAUGAUAUUUUCCUUUGCAAUAUAGACUAUAGAUAUUUGCCAAUGAGCUGUUCGCUUGUCUCUUUUUAGUGGUUUACAAUCUCUUUCAUAUGUAAAUGCUUUCUGAAACGUUUAAAUUCCCACAACUUCGUCAAGUAUUUCUAUUUUCUAACCAGCCAUUUACUUUAACAAUAUCAAUAUAGUUAACUCCUGAUGACCCCACAAAAAUAGUGUCCAAAUAGGAUUGUGCAAGCUAGAUGAUCGUGUAAUCAGAAGUGGCAUUUUAACUUUAAGUAAGUUGAAUGACGUUGAUUGGAAUGUUGAACACCAACUUACUCUUUCUUCUCUGAACUUAACUCUUGUCUUUUCUUAAUAAUUAUAUUUCUGUAGUUGGAUCCCAUUGAUCUGAAUGGAUGAGGAACAUCUGGAAUGGUAGCUUGAAACUUUCAGACCCCCGACUGGAACAACAGCUUUAAGAGGUGAUGAAUUUGCUGCCUUCAGACAAGGAGGACACACUUACUUUGGAAGAUUCCUUAUUGGUUCACCGCAGAUGUUACAGGAC
rnacentral:lncRNA from 1 species